GUAGGGGGCGAGCGUUGUCCGGAAUUAUUGGGCGUAAAGAGCGUGUAGGCGGCCUGGUAAGUCUGCCGUGAAAACCUGGGGCUCAACCCUGGGCGUGCGGUGGAUACUGCUAGGCUAGAGGAUGGUAGAGGCGAGUGGAAUUCCCGGUGUAGCGGUGAAAUGCGCAGAUAUCGGGAGGAACACCAGUAGCGAAGGCGGCUCGCUGGGCCAUACCUGACGCUGAGACGCGAAAGCUAGGGGAGCAAACAGGAUUAGAUACCCUGGUAGUCCUAGCCGUAAACGAUGAACACUAGGUGUGGGCGGAGUCGAAUCUGUCUGUGCCGCAGCUAACGCGAUAAGUGUUCCGCCUGGGGAGUACGGCCGCAAGGCUA
rnacentral:rRNA from 1 species